rnacentral:lncRNA from 1 species
AGCCAAACAGGAGAUCGUCCAUUCUAUGACUAUUUAGAGAGUUGCCUUCGUCACAAAGCUGAAAUGGUUAUUUUUGAAGCAGCCAGGGCAAUCACAGAGCUUAGUGGUGUGACUAGUCGAGAAUUAACUCCUGCUAUUACUGUUCUACAGCUCUUUUUGAGCUCUUCUAAGCCAGUUAUAGAGAAUUAACGCCUGCUAUUACUGUUCUACAGCUCUUUUUGAGCUCUUCUAAGCCAGUUCUUAGGUUUGCUGCUGUCCGCACUUUGAAUAAGGUGAUUCAUCUUAGUAUAAUUUCAUUGAUCUACUAGUUUUAUUACGAAUGAUUAAUUUGGUAAUUGUGGUUCAUGAAUAAUUAUUGAGUUGCUUAGUCGAAUGGUACACAUUACAAUGUUUCCCCAUCAGGAUAACCCUAUCUUUGUUAUUGUGAACAAGCAUCGGAAUCUAAUUCUCUCUGAUAUUGACUUUUAUGUGACUAACAAGUAGGACUGCCUGGUUGGUUACAGUAUUGAAAUUCUUAACAUUUGUAACUGAAAAGCUUAAUUUGUUCAGAAAAAAAGAGAAAAGCUUAAUCUGUUAUAGUACCAACUGCUUCUGGUUUCUGCUUGAUGCAGCACAAGUAUUAAUUGUUGAACUAUGCGCAGG